rnacentral:lncRNA from 1 species
CAGUGACAGAAGAAGCAGCUACUCUUCUGAAGAUGAACUCAGUGCCCCUCUCCAAAUACUGCCUAGUUUGUGAAUAGAAAGACUAGAAGAUUCUGAGCUGCAUGUGUCAUGGCCUUGAAGAGGGAUUCCAGAUUAAAACCUACAACCACUUGUUAGCUCAUAGUUUCCUCAAUCUUGAGAAAAUGGUUAAGAUGGAAUCCGGGACCUCACAAAUGCUACACAAGUGCUGUAGUACAGUACCACUGAGAGGCACGUCAGAUCUGAAUUCUUUAACUAAUGAAUUACUGGUUCAAGGCGGUUGGUUUUGGUUAUUUGAGGAUCCUCUUUAGGGGUCAUUGAAUGUCUAUCUGUGGAAGCUC